CAGAGAAAGCCAGCAUUUCUUUCUCAAAUGAAAGCCUGAAUUCCCCAGAACAGCCUCUGCUGCAUCAACACGAGCAACAUUUGGAGGAAGCAAACUGUGAUGCUCAGCAAAACCCACCCGAUUCCCCAGGAUGUAAGGACUUCAUUCUUAACAUUGAGCUGGAAAAAGCUGAAAAUGGAAGCCUGGGAUUUGCCCUGGUGGGUGGAAGGAACGGCAGGGCUAUCCUAAUAAAAGCCAUCAGCCCCGACAGCAUCGCAGAUCUAGAUGGGAGGCUCCAAGUUGG